AACGCACAUUGCGCCCUCUGGUAUUCCGGAGGGCAUGCCUGUUUGAGCGUCAUUUCUCUCUCAAACCUUUGGGUUUGGUAUUGAGUGAUACUCUUAGUCAGACUAAGCGUUUGCUUGAAAAGUAUUGGCACUGAGUGGUAUUAAUAGUACUUUCUUUGGAACUUCAAUGUAUUAGGUUUGUCCAACUCGUUGAAACUGAGGAACAGUAAAUUUUAGUGCUUAGGCUCGGCCUUACAAGACAACAAACAAGUUUGACCUCAAAUCAGGUAGGACUACCCGCUGAACUUAA
rnacentral:misc_RNA from 1 species